UUUUUUUAAUACAAACUUUGUUAGCGAUUUUUUUAUUUUAUGACUUCAUCAUUAUCAUUUUAGAUUCCCAAACAUGAGUUUUCUAGCAGAAAAUUCAAAUGUCACAGAUCAAUGUUUUGUACGUCAUUAAAGAAAGCAGCAUAUCAUGUAAAAGACCACAUUUUAAAUAAAAAAAAAAAAAAAAAACAUAAUGAAGGCUGCUGGAUUUUUCGGCAAAAAUUAGAAGCGAGUGCGACUGUUCUGAGUGACUGCUUCUGCAAGAAGCUCAAUAACACUUACAGCUCAUGUCCUUAUAAACCGCACACAUGCUACCUGAUUCUACUACUUUUAUUUUUAUUGUCACACCAAAUAUUAACUUUGUUUCAUUUUAUACUGUUUACUACUCUUUAUGGUCAUUCUUUUUUUUUUAAAUGUAGAAACAUUUAAUUUCAUUAUUUUUGAAGGCAUCGUUACUCUAUAGCAUUUCUUUGCAUGGGCCUAAAACGUUUGAUACAGUCCUGUAAGACUACACAGAUUUACAAAACCAAUACAUUAUAAGAACAACAAAACGGUAGUGUGUCUUACGGCCUUGUAAAGCCUUUUUGAGAGUAUUUUAGACGCGCGGCCAUUUAUUUAGCACCAUUACAAACACCUCUCCGACAUGGUGACCAGCUGCAAUAGUAAUGCGAGCUAAACGACACUUUUGUGCAGUGAAUUUCCAAAAGUAUAUAUUGAUUUUCACAGCUAGUGGUCACACAGCUUUACAGUUAAUAAAAGUGUUUCAACUCGAACAACCCAUGCACUCAGUAUACUCAGUUCCUCAAUGAACAUCUACAGCCGAACGUACGCACAGAAAUAUGACUCAGGUUAAUCUAGGUUUGAUUUAUUAUUGCUAAAUUAAGCGGGUGCAUCUAGAUUUUUCGCUUUUAUGCACUGCCGCCUUUACCUGAGCGUACUCCUGCACCUGUGUUCCGGAAUACUUUGUUCCAUCUGCUCCUAUGACUCUGAGAAACGUCCCCUGACAGUGCAAUAAGAAAUAAUGAGCAGCACUAAGAUGC
ensembl:lncRNA